ACCUGACGGAAGGAUCAUUG
rnacentral:rRNA from 1 species